rnacentral:lncRNA from 1 species
AAAAAGUCACCUGCACAUUAAAUGGAUACAUGCUCAAAAAUUCUCCCUGACAAGAAAAAUCUAAACACUGAUAAUGACCUCACACACAGGCUUUGGUCACACUCAGAGUACUGCUGGACACAACCACAUACGCUCAAACAAGUUGCCCACAUACUGGCUCUGCACCAUGUCAGAUCCAAAUCUAGAUAUUUGUACUUCUGGGAGAUUGAAGGGUUCCACCUCUGCUUUUAUUCCUCAAGUGGGUGAUGCAAAAGCACUGAUUCCUCCCCCACUACCUCUCAAACGCCACCAGAGGUCACCUGAAUUUGAGACAACUUUAAGCCAGGGCCCACAACUGAAAGCCUUUAAUAUAGAGAGCUCACUGGCAUGUCAGACUUCUCUUGGGGAAGUCCCAGGGGAAGUACAUGACAUUCACAGUAGCCGCAUAUUUGGAAUUUUACCAAAAGUGGAACAAAAAUGCCACAAAAAUGAACAAACACAGUUUGCUCCAAGACCUCCUCUUACACCACCUAUAAAACCUCCACGGCCUAAUAAGCCAAAAAAGGCUGAGCUAGAGGAAGAAAAGACAGGAGACAAGAAGAACAGGCAUGAGCAAGAGCUGAUGGAAAGAAAUGAGAAUACAGAAGAGAAUGAAGAAACAUCUAAAAUAGAAAGUCAUCUGCACGUAGGUAAACCUCCACGGCAGAUCUUAGUAAUAUUUACAGAAUAUCUACGGGAGAAAGGUGGAGAGGACAGGGGAAAGGAAGAUAAAGAACCUAAUAAUAUUGAGCUGACCACUACCUUGACAGAAAAUUCAUUCCUGCUAGCAAUGAAAGGCUCAGACCUUACCUCAGAUGAAGAACCUGACAUGGCAGCAACAAACAGAAAGUCUAUAGUUUCAGUGAAACAAGAACCAACAAUUCCACCACAGCCUCCUCCAAAGACACAUCAGAAGUGUCCCCCAAAACCACCAAUCAAACCUCUACAGCUCUUCAGCGCCAUGAGGUCCAGGAUAGAAGAGGAAACAGAGAGUAGGAAGCAGGUGGAUGAAUGGUUAAGAGACAAUGGCUUGGUGGACAAAGAAAGGAAUGAAGAGGAAGACGAAGGAAAGGAUGGAGGAAAGGUAAAUGUAGAUACAGAGUCAAUGACACCAACCAUGACAGAAAUGCCUUCCCGACCAAAAGAAAUAGUAAUGAAGUCCAUCCCCAAGUCUUCAGUGUAUCAGGAGGUGGAACUGCCAAGAGCAGGGCAAAGAUUUUGUCUCAUGCCCCCUUGUAGAAACAAACCGUCAGAAAUCACAACUGAGAACAAAACUCUUCAUCAGUCUCAGCUCCCAGGGAAACAACACCUGAACCAUGCAGAUGGACAAGUCCAUCCUGGUCCUCUUCCACAAAAGAUUCCUAUUCCUGUCCCAUGGGUACAAGACUCUGAAGUAAUUUCUAAGUUGCCAUCUGGACAUCAGGAAGGGACAGAGGUGGUGGGGUCGAAGUUGGAUCCACAUCAGCUGGAUGCACAGGAAAUUGCUGAGAUGCUUUUGGAUGGAGAACUAAAGCAAACAAACCAGAAGACCAAUGCAAGAGGAAAGGUGAAACAGCUUGCCAAGAAGGUGAUCGGUAGAUUGAAAGAGGGACGAGAGGACAAAAGAAGAAGCAAAGCGCUAGAGAUGGAAAUAGAUGAUACUGAACUGACACAGGAUGAAAAGUGGCAUGGGGAAGAAGGAGGAAUGAAGGAUGAGGAGAAAGAGGAAGGGAAUGAUGCAGUUACUGUGGACCAAUCAGCAGUGACAGAGACACAGAGCUAUGCUGACCGGAUGAAAGGGAGGAUUGCAAGAAGAAAUGCAACAUCUGAAAGACAUUAUAGCAUAGUUUGCCUGUGAAUGCAGCUGGGAAUUCUGCUUCUCAGAUCAAAUAAAUUCAUCAUCAUUGUGUUGUGUGGUAAAAAAGUGUGCACAUUCGGGAGUGGCAAUUCCGUGCACUGUGGGGCACAGUCCUUAUGUGUGUGUGUUUUACUGAACAACCAACAUGGUUUAAUUAUUAAUACUGAAAAUACAGAGAAAUACUGCAUACAGAUUAGGAUACAAAUAGGAGCAGACACAGCCUCAUUUCCCAGUUCAGCAACAUUGAUCAU